UCCUACGGGAGGCAGCAGUGGGGAAUAUUGGACAAUGGGGGCAAGCCUGAUCCAGCCAUACCGCGUGGGUGAAGAAGGCCUUCGGGUUGUAAAGCCCUUUUGUUGGGAAAGAAAAGCAUUCGGUUAAUACCCGGGGUUCUGACGUACCCA
rnacentral:rRNA from 2 species